rnacentral:rRNA from 1 species
CCUGGUUGAUUCUGCCAGUAGUCAUAUGCUUGUCUUAAAGAUUAAGCCAUGCAUGUCUAAGUAUAAGCAAUUAUACAGCGAAACUGCGAAUGGCUCAUUAAAUCAGUUAUCGUUUAUUUGAUAGUACCUUACUACAUGGAUAACCGUGGUAAUUCUAGAGCUAAUACAUGCUAAAAACCCCGACUUCGGAAGGGGUGUAUUUAUUAGAUUAAAAACCAAUGCCCUUCGGGGCUCACUGGUGAUUCAUGAUAACUUCUCGAAUCGCACGGCCUUGCGCCGGCGAUGGUUCAUUCAAAUUUCUGCCCUAUCAACUUUCGACGGCUGGGUCUUGGCCAGCCGUGGUGACAACGGGUAACGGAGGGUUAGGGCUCGACCCCGGAGAAAACGCCUGAGAAACGGCGUUUACAUCCAAGGAAGGCAGCAGGCGCGCAAAUUACCCAAUGCCGACACGGCGAGGUAGUGACGAGAAAUACUGAUACAGGGCUCUUUUGGGUCUUGUAAUUGGAAUGAGUACAAUUUAAAUCUCUUAACGAGGAACAAUUGGAGGGCAAGUCUGGUGCCAGCAGCCGCGGUAAUUCCAGCUCCAAUAGCGUAUAUUAAAGUUGUUGCAGUUAAAAAGCUCGUAGUUGAACCUUGGGCCUGGCUGGCCGGUCCGCCUCACCGCGUGCACUGGUCCGGCCGGGCCUUUCCCUCUGGGGAACCGCAUGCCCUUCACUGGGCGUGUCGGGGAACCAGGACUUUUACUUUGAAAAAAUUAGAGUGUUCAAAGCAGGCCUAUGCUCGAAUACAUUAGCAUGGAAUAAUAGAAUAGGACGUGUGGUUCUAUUUUGUUGGUUUCUAGGACCGCCGUAAUGAUUAAUAGGGACAGUCGGGGGCAUCAGUAUUCAAUUGUCAGAGGUGAAAUUCUUGGAUUUAUUGAAGACUAACUACUGCGAAAGCAUUUGCCAAGGAUGUUUUCAUUAAUCAGGAACGAAAGUUAGGGGAUCGAAGACGAUCAGAUACCGUCGUAGUCUUAACCAUAAACUAUGCCGACUAGGGAUCGGACGGUGUUAUUUUUUGACCCGUUCGGCACCUUACACGAAAGUACAAGUUUCUGGGUUCUGGGGGGAGUAUGGUCGCAAGGCUGAAACUUAAAGAAAUUGACGGAAGGGCACCACCAGGGGUGGAGCCUGCGGCUUAAUUUGACUCAACACGGGGAAACUCACCAGGUCCAGACAUGAAAAGGAUUGACAGAUUGAGAGCUCUUUCUUGAUUUUAUGGGUGGUGGUGCAUGGCCGUU